UCUCAGUAAUUCAGAAUAUGACCUUAUAUGGAAAUAGGGCCUUCACAGAGGUAAUCAAACUAAAAUGAGGUUAUUUGGGUGGGUCCUAUCCAACAUGACUGUGUUCUAACAAAAUGGGGCAAUUUGGAUAUAGAGAGACACACGGGGAAGGAAAGCUAUGUGAAGACACAGAGAGGUUGCCAUCUACAGGCCAGAAAGUGCCUGAGACUAUUGGAAACUAGGAGAGAGGCAUGGAACAGAUUCUCUCUCACUGCCUUCAGAAGGAACCAACCCUGCUGACACAUCAGUUUCACACUUCCAGGCUACAGAACUGGGAGACAAUAGAUGUCUGUUGCUUAAGCCACCCAGUUUGUGGCGCUUUGCUACGGCAGCCCUAAGAAACUAAUAGACAAAGAAGAAACACUGUUGGUGCCUGAAAUCUUCAAGUCUGGGGACCACCAGAUAAGCAGCUUCUAAAGAAAAAUAAGAUAGUCCUAUUUUUCAAGAAGGAAAUCGGUCAACCUCAAUGCAGUCCCUGCCACAUACCAGGCACUCGGCAAGAUUUGGUUUUACUUGUCAUCUCAUCUAAUUUCCAUAGCAGCCUCCAAACAUUUGUUAUUAAUCUGAUUCUUAUGGAUGAGGACAUCAAAGCUCAGAGAGAAAAAUUUGACCUUGUUCAAAGUCAUACUACCAGUAAAUGGGGCUGAAACUCUGCAUGGUAUUCCAGUAGUUCCCCCUUAUACGUGGGGGAUAUGUCCAAGACCUCCAGUGGAUGUCUGAAACCUUGGAUGGCACAGUUACCAACCCUAUGCAUUAUAUGUACUGUAUUGUUCUCUACAUAUGUACCUAUGAUAGAGUUUAAUUUAUAAAUUAGGUACAGUAAUAUUAAUAACAACAAUUAACAAAAUAGAACAAUUUAA
rnacentral:lncRNA from 10 species